AGUUGCGAUCAUACCAGCACUAAUGCAUCGGAUCCCUUUUGAACCUCGUAGUUAAGCGUGCUUGGGCGACAGCAGUACUAGGAUGGGUCACCCCCUAGGAAGUCUUCGUAUUAAAACCCU
rnacentral:rRNA from 1 species